CGGACGGGGGAGUAAUGUCUGGGAAACGUGCCCGAUGGAGGGGGGUAACUACUGGAAACGGUAGCUAAUACCGCAUAACGUCGCAAGACCAAAGAGGGGGACCUUAGGGCCUCUUGCCAUCGGAUGUGCCCAGAUGGGAUUAGCUAGUAGGUGGGGUAAAGGCUCACCUAGGCGACGAUCCCUAGCUGGUCUGAGAGGAUGACCAGCCACACUGGAACUGAGACACGGUCCAG
rnacentral:rRNA from 1 species